CAGAACGUGGCCGAGACAGAUAGGCGCCUCCCUUACACCGAGGCUACACCCAUGCGAAUUGGGUCGUUCUGA
rnacentral:tRNA from 1 species